UAAUAUUAAUAUAGUUGCAUUGUUUUAGAAGAAUAAUAUAUUUAUAUUAAGUAAGAGAAAGUCAUUGUAUAUUUUAUAAAUUGGAUUGUUUAAGCUAUAGGUUACUAGUAUUGUGAAAGAAAUUUUAAUAAAAUUUAUAAUUUUAAUAAGGUAAUUUAAUUUAUUGUAUCUUGUGUCUCAGAGUAUAUUAAAUUAAAUGAUAUAUUUUUAUUUUUCUCGAAUUUAAAAGAUUUAAUUAAGCGUAUUAGUUAUUAUUUCAUAAAUAUUAAUAAUGUUUGAUUGGUAAUGAGAUGUUAUUCGUUUUUAAGGAUAUCUAGUUUUUUAAUAAAUGAAUUUAAUUCAGAAAAUAAUAAGCAUUUAUUUAUUUAGAAGUAAAUAUUUGUAAGUUAUUUUUAAUUUUUUAAGGGAGAAUCUUUAGGAAAAAUUUUUAUAAUGUUGGGGUUUAAAGAGAAUAUUAUGAGCUUAGAAUUUGUUAAUAAGUUAAGGAUGUUAAAAUUUAUUUCUUUUUUUUUGUAAUUUGUAAAUAAUUUAAGAUGUUUAUUAAAAUGUAUAAGAUAAUUUUGAAUUUUUAGUUCUUAUGAUUUAAUUAGUAAAUAUUAAUGUUGAUGUAAUAAAAAGGAUAAGAGGAAUUAAUAUAAAGAAUUAGGCAAAUAAUUUUACUCGCCUGUUUAUUAAAAACAUGGUUUCUUGAUUUACUUAAGAAAUUUAACCUGCCCACUGAAUAGUAAUAUGAAGGGCCGCAGUAUUUUGACUGUGCAAAGGUAGCAUAAUCAUUAGUCUUUUAAUUGAAGGCUGGAAUGAAUGGUUGGACGAAGUAAACACUGUUUUAUGUUAAUAAAUUUUGAAAUUAGAUUUUAAGUAAAAAUACUUAAAUUAGAUUAAGGGACGAGAAGACCCUAUAGAGUUUAAUAUAUAAAGUUUUAAUUGAGUUUAUGAUUAAUUUUUGAUUAAUUAUGGAGUGUAUUUUGUUGGGGUGAUUUAAAGAUAGUAGGAACUCUUUUUUAAUUUGUAUAGGUUAUAUAGUUGAAGGAUCCAUAAAUAAUGAUUGUAAGAUUAAAUUACCUUAGGGAUAACAGCAUAAUUUUUUUUGAGAGUUCAUAUCGAAAGGGAAGAUUGUGACCUCGAUGUUGGAUUAAGAUAAGUUUUGGGUGAAGAGGUUUAAAGACUAGGUCUGUUCGACCUUUAAAUUCUUACAUGAUCUGAGUUUAAACCGGCGUGAGCCAGGUUGGUUUCUAUCUUUAAUAAUAUGUGAUGCUUUAGUACGAGAGGACCAAGUAUUAAAAAUAAUUUUAUUUAGUUGAAUAUUGUUAAUUUG
rnacentral:rRNA from 1 species